rnacentral:rRNA from 1 species
UGAGCAAUCUGCCCUUCUCUUUGGAAUAAGCGUUGGAAACGACGUCUAAUGCCGAAUACGACCUCCUUUCGCAUGAUCGGAGGUGGAAAGCUCCGGCGGAGAAGGAUGAGCUCGCGGCCUAUCAGCUAGUUGGUGUGGGUAAUGGCCCACCAAGGCGACGACGGGUAGCCGGCCUGAGAGGGCGACCGGCCACACUGGGACUGAGACACGGCCCAGACCUCCGUACGGGAGGNAGCG